GCCCGGAUGGCGGAAAGGCAGACGCAGGGGACUUAAAAUCCCCUGGGGGUAUCCCCCAUGUGGGUUCGAAUCCCUCUCCGGGCA
rnacentral:tRNA from 1 species